UUGCCAUCGUUUUAGAAUGAGAAAUGAGUAACCGUAUACAGAACAAUCGUUUUCUCUCCCAUCUCAAUGCCAAAAUCUCCACCCUCAAAAUUCUUCGUUAUCCACUGCUGCCUGCCUGAUAUUCAAUUUCUUCGUCUUCCUUCCUUUAAUCAUUAAACAUGCAACACACAGGUAAACAUCAUCUUUUCAAUUGACAAUGGUUUAGAAGGAAAUCAAACACAAUCUUUUGUGGGUCUCGAUGCACCAGGAAGAGGAAGGCACGCAGGAUUCUCCACCAACAGAUCCUAAGAGUUGGUAUCUAUUUUGAUUGAAUGGGAAUAACGAUAGAGAUAAUAGUGGUCGUGUAAUUAUGCUUCAAAUCAAGGGAUUCGCACACGAUGCAAAGUGCUGCUGAUAUCAGUCUAUAUUUUAAUAAUCAAAUAGUCAAACUAUGGAGCGUUCCAGGAAUUUAAAGGAUUGUGUUCGUCAUUCAAGUGAUGGAAGCGCGAGGAUGUGGUUGAAGCUCAACAUAGGAAUUCAGCCAGUGAAGAUUCAACAUUUUUGUUUAUGAAAGACAGACAUUGCAAUUUGUACAGAUACAAAGCAAAUUGCCAACUAAAUUGGGCGGUGGAUUUAUGUGAGACAGGAGCAACAUUCUUAGUCAGAUGGUAGAUUUUUAUUUCACAAGAACAAUUCACUUGAUAUAAGCACCUUGUCUGAUGCUAAACCUAUUUUAGCUCACAUCAGUAAAUUAUGUACAAACCCUCCUGAUUCAUAUAUGGAACCUGUUUUUGGUGGAGUUGCUCCUUAGUUUCUAGCUUAUUCCUACCAACCGAAAGAAUACUACCAUGUGAACUUUUCUGACAAGCGAGAUCUAGAUUCAUCUACAAUCCUUUAAAUACCAAAUUAUAUACUAGGAAUUUAAAAUACAGAAGAACGAGAAGAAUCAGAUAAUGGUUGGUGUUUCUUACACCAUGUUUGGUGUGCUAUGGUGGAUUAUGGUUGGUGUUUCUUACACCAUGUUUGGUGUGCUAUGGUGGAUUUUUUUCCUUGGUAAAAGGUGGCUUCAGAUGGAGUUCAGCAAAGGAACACUCUUUUAAGGGUAAAUACUUUUUCUAGGGGUUUGGCACACCAUUGUUAAAAUUUUAAAGAAUCCAUCCUUGAAGCUAAGGCGUAGAGAAAAAAAUUUAGAUAUGAAAUGAAGUGGCAAGAAUGAAACCUUGGGGAGACUUCGAAAUUGGGAAUUGAAAUGCAGUCGUUGGCUGAGCUUUUGUUUGUUCCCCUAGAUUUUUCUUUCACAGUUGAAAGCACUAUUUGACUUUUCCUUGGUAAAAGGUGGCUUCAGAUGGAGUUCAGCAAAGGAACACUCUUGUAAGUGUAAAUACUUUGUUCUAGGGGUUUGGCACACCAUUGUUAAAAUACUUUUUCGUACAUGGUUAUCGUUUUUUUGAAGUUUUAUUAGAUUGAUUUUUGUAUGAAUAUUUAUUUGUCAGAUGAAAAGAGAAGAAGUUGUGCCUGAGUAAUCUUUAUCAAAUGCCUAUGGCGCGAAUUAUACGACCUAUGAUGAUGUGUAACUUAGUAUCAAUCCACGGCUUCAAGCACAGUUUAGCUAAGUUAGCCUAUGUAAAUGGUGGUUGAGAUUUACCCUCCCAAUACAUAAAUCUAUGGUUGUAAUUUCUCCCAUUAAACUAUCAUUUAAUGACCCAUUAAGAAAAAUCUAAAAUAAUAAAUGAUUAAAAUCUA